CUGCGGAGCCAGAAUGCGGGGGAGCCGGAGGCGGAGGAGCGGGCGGCCUCCGGUGGGAUCUGCCUCCAUGUGGACAGAGAUCAGCUGUCGGUGGAGUUCUGCGCCGUGUGUGCCAGGCGGGCAUCUGCCUCCUUCAAAAUGUAGGGUCAAGUACCUGCUUCAGUCUUUAUUUUUCACCUGUCCGUGCCCACAUCCAGGGGCUUCGGGCCGUGGCGGAGCAAGCAGGUCAUGGCUUGAAAAACAGGGGCUAGGCAAAGCUGGCGUAGGAACGGCAGAGGGUAAAGAGCUCGCGUGAACUUCAUACUUGGGAGCCAGUGUGUGGCACUGGGUAAAAGAUCGCACAAAACUGGCUCACAAAUGGCGCGCUCGGAAUCUGCUUACAGCAGCGUGCCAAAUAUCGUGCAAACUGACACAUGCAGUUGUAUUCGGAGCCCGUUUGCAGCAGGGAGUGAAAGAUCAUGCAAACCUGAAGCAUGAAGGUGUGCUCCGUGCCUGUUCACAAAUGCCAGUAGAGAUAAUACUGCCUACCCUGUUUUGAAUCAGAUAAAAUAUAGUCCGCUUAUCCUGAGGAGCUGAAAAUACUUGUUUUUUUGUUUUUUAGAAAAAGAAAAAUUCGACUUAUUAGGACAUCGUCACUGGACAGACUUGAGAACAAAAUUAAUAUUGAUGAGCAAACAGUUAAAGCAUGCAUAUGAAACUGUAAUAAAUAUUAAUUAUACAUUACUAUUAAACCUCUCUGACAGUUUCUUUUUUAGGUGCUUGCCCUGCCAUGCUCCGUUGUGUAGGGGUUAAAGAGCAGUCGUUUUCCACUUCGCAACCUGUGGAUACAGCUGUGUUGGGGCAGAAGAGACGGGACCAGCUGCUGGCCACAUUUCCUGCUUUAUUUUAAAAGGUAGUAUAAGAAAUGAGGAAAAAGAGGUAACAGGGCUUCUGCUGUCUUUCAUUUUUGAAAAGCUUGAAUGUUUGGAAAAAAAUAAUCUCACCACUCCGAAGUUAGUGUGGUACUAGUUUGAAAAGGGACUAGGUACAAAGAUAAUCAAUCUUCUGCUUUCUGUGAAUUCGGUUACCUGUUCACAGAAAUACAAAGCUAGUACAGCUAAGAACUAAUGAGCUGUGGAUUCUAUUCCAUCUUGUGCAGCAUCAAUCAGAUUGUCUACUCAGUUCCAGUCUUUUAUACUUGUACAAUCCCCUUGUACGCAGUGGGGUAGUCACAAAUGUCAUUAAGAGCGUUAUUUAAUUGUUAGCACUCUUAUUCUUGGUGGUAGGUGAAAUGAGAAGAACUGAGCUUGACUGAGCCAAGAUUGAAGUUAUAGGGCUCAAUCACUUGUUUACUUGUAAUCAUCUUAUUCAACAUAAAAAUCAUUAAAACAGUAAGCAUGGAAGAUUGCUGUGGCAUUUUUAGUCUGCUUUACGGUAACUUUAAGUUACCUCAACUUAAAUAUAACACUAUCUUCCUCUGUAAUAGGAUUCCCUGUUUUGAACAAUUAUGAACACUUUGUUAGAUCAGAGCAGUCUGGGACUUAAUCCUGACUUCUGAUAUGCACAUGUGCACCACUGUAUUCUGUAAAAUAUACUGCAAAUGGGCAAUAGCUAGUUUUACAACAUGCAAAAUGUGUGCCUGUACAAUUAAGAGCAGGAUCCACACCCCAGAAUGUGGCUGCAGGGAUUUUUAGUGCCUUCCAAAUCUCAUGUAAACCAAGCAGAGGGGAAAAUUCUUUGACUUCUAAUCAGUUUGUGCUAUCUGUAUGGAAUAUUGUUAAAUACAGCUUUUUUGGAGCAGAAGCCUUGAAUUGAUACCUUAACAAUACUUGAAAAACUUGUAAAUGUUUGUAAUUAGCUCUGUGCUGUACAAAUAAGAAUACAGUACUAUAAUAAAAUCAGAUGUGUUGAUCUUUCAGUUAUGGGCUCAAAUAAUUUUUUAUCUUGUUCUUAACAUUUUGUUUUUGAUG